CUCAGUAGCGGCGAGCGAACAGGGAAGAGCCCAGCACCGAAUCCCGCGGCCUCACCGGCCGCCGGGAAAUGUGGUGUUAGGGAGGAUCGCACUCCUGCGGUCUCGCGGCGCGUCCAAGUCCUUCUUGAACGGGGCCACAGCCCAUAGAGGGUGCCAGGCCCGUAGCGACCGCCGCGGACCGUGGGACGGUCUCUCCUCAGAGUCGGGUUGCUUGAGAGUGCAGCCCUAAGUGGGUGGUAAACUCCAUCUAAGGCUAAAUAUGACCACGAGACCGAUAGCGAACAAGUACCGUGAGGGAAAGUUGAAAAGAACUUUGAAGAGAGAGUUCAAUAGUACGUGAAACCGUUCAGGGGUAAACCUGAGAAUCCCGAAAGGUCGAAAGGGGAGAUUCAUCGCGGCUCGUCUCCGGAGCCCGACGCGAUGGUGACUGCCGGCGUACGCGUCGGUCGCGCCUCGCGUUGGAGCACUCCUGGCGGCGAACGCGUGCACUUCUCCCCCAGUAGGACGUCGCGAUCCGUUGGGCGUCGGUCUAAGGCCCGCGGUGGAGCCCUGACCGGAACUCGUUCCGCCAGGACCCGCGGUGCUUCCCGACCGGCUCGCUCGACGGUACACAGAUGGCGCGGGGCCGCGACUCGUUCGCGACCGGCCCGCGGCAAGCGCGACGCGCGUUCCGGCUGUCGGACCUGGUGCCGGCACCGGACCGCGUCGGCUGUUCGCCGCGGUGUUCCCGGUCAGACUCCGUUCACGCCGAUCUGCGACGCUAUAGCUUUGGGUACUUUCAGGACCCGUCUUGAAACACGGACCAAGGAGUCUAGCAUGUGCGCGAGUCACUGAGACAGAGCGAAACUCAAAGGCGAAAUGAAAGUGAAGGUCCGCCUCGCGCGGACCUAGGGAAGAUGGGCGGUCCGACGAGACCGCCCCGCAUUCCCGGGGCGUCUCGUUCUCAUCGCGAGGAGAGGCGCACCAAGAGCGCACACGCUGGGACCCGAAAGAUGGUGAACUAUGCCUGGUCAGGACGAAGUCAGGGGAAACCCUGAUGGAGGUCCGUAGCGAUUCUGACGUGCAAAUCGAUCGUCGGAACUGGGUAUAGGGGCGAAAGACUAAUCGAACCAUCUAGUAGCUGGUUCCCUCCGAAGUUUCCCUCAGGAUAGCUGGCGCUCGUCGCGCACGAGUCUCAUCCGGUAAAGCGAAUGAUUAGAGGCAUUGGGGUCGAAACGGCCUCAACCUAUUCUCAAACUUUAAAUGGGUGAGAUCUCCGGCUUGCUCGAACUGUUGAAGCCGCGAGAGACGGAUCAGAGUGCCAAGUGGGCCAUUUUUGGUAAGCAGAACUGGCGCUGUGGGAUGAACCAAACGCAGAGUUAAAGCGCCUAAAUCGACGCUUAUGGGAUACCAUGAAAGGCGUUGGUAACUUAAGACAGCAGGACGGUGGCCAUGGAAGUCGGAAUCCGCCAAGGAGUGUGUAACAACUCACCUGCCGAAGUUACUAGCCCUGAAAAUGGAUGGCGCUGAAGCGUCGUGCUUAUACUCUGCCGUCAGCGGCAUGUGCGGUCCGACCGCUUCGGCGGUCGGCCAUGAAGCCCUGACGAGUAGGAGGGUCGCGGCGGUGAGCGCAGAAGGGCUGGCCGUGGGGCCGUCUGGAGCCGCCGUCGGUGCAGAUCUUGGUGGUAGUAGCAAAUACUCCAGCGAGGCCCUGGAGGACUGACGUGGAGAAGGGUUUCGUGUGAACAGCCGUUGCACACGAGUCAGUCGAUCCUAAGCCCUAGGCGAAAGCCGAUGUCGAUGUGGUGUGAAUUCAUUCAAWUUUWUUGUUUACGCAUUCGCACACACCCGUCGGGCGAAAGGGAAUCCGGUUCCUAUUCCGGAACCCGGCAGCGGAACCGUUUAAAAUUCGGGCCCUCGCAAGAGAGUUCGUCGGGGCAACCCAAAAGGACCCGGAGACGCCGUCGGGAGAUCCGGGAAGAGUUUUCUUUUCUGCAUGAGCGUUCGAGUUCCAUGGAAUCCUCUAGCAGGGAGAUAUGGUUUGGAACGCGAAGAGCACCGCAGUUGCAGCGGUGUCCGGAUCUUCCCCGCGGACCUUGAAAAUCCGGGAGAGGGCCACGUGGAGUUGUCGCGCCGGUUCGUACCCAUAUCCGCAGCAGGUCUCCAAGG
rnacentral:rRNA from 1 species